rnacentral:rRNA from 1 species
GGAAUUUUGGACAAUGGGGGCAACCCUGAUCCAGCCAUUCCGCGUGAGUGAAGAAGGUCUUCGGGUUGUAAAGCUCUUUCGCAAGGGAAGAAAACUUAUGAUCGAAUAAAUCAUGAGGUUGACGGUACCUUGAUAAGAAGCACCGGCUAACUACGUGCCAGCAGCCGCGGUAAUACGUAGGGUGCGAGCGUUAAUCGGAAUUACUGGGCGUAAAGCGUGCGCAGGCGGUUUUGUAAGUCGGAUGUGAAAUCCCCGGGCUCAACCUGGGAACUGCGUUCGAAACUGCAAGGCUAGAGUGUGUCAGAGGGGGGUAGAAUUCCACGUGUAGCAGUGAAAUGCGUAGAGAUGUGGAGGAAUACCAAUGGCGAAGGCAGCCCCCUGGGAUAACACUGACGCUCAUGCACGAAAGCGUGGGGAGCAAACAGGAUUAGAUACCCUGGUAGUCCACGCCCUAAACGAUGUCAACUAGUUGUUGGUAGAGUAAAAUCUAUGAGUAACGUAGCUAACGCGUGAAGUUGACCGCCUGGGGAGUACGGUCGCAAGAUUAAAACUCAAAGGAAUUGACGG